rnacentral:rRNA from 2 species
GCUGAAUUUAAGCAUAUAAGUAAGCGGAGGACAAGAAACUAAACAGGAUCCCCAUAGUAAUGGCGAAUGAACCGGGAUAAACUCAGCAUGGAAAUUGGGGCCUUUGGCUUUGACUUGUAAUCUGGUGAGGCAUUGCCAACAGAGGCGCAUAUGUAAGUCUCUUGGAAAAGAGCAUCAACGAAGGUGAGAGUCCUGAUUGUCAUGUGCAGCCCCCCUGUGCACGGUGUGCCUUCUAAGAGUCACGUUCCUUGGGAUUGGAGCGCAAAUUGGGUGGUAACUUUCAUCUGAAGUUAAACAAUGGUUUGGGACCGAUAGGAAACAAGUACCAUGAGGGAAAGGUGAAAAGGACUUUGGAAAGAGAGUUAAAAGUGCCUGAAAUUGCUGAAGGGGAAGCGAAUGGAACCAGUGGUGCUGGGUGAGAUUGUCACAUGCUGCAAGGAUUGGUUGCUGCCACAACGCAAGUGUGCUGGCAAUUUGUGAACUGCUAGUGUGUGGUGUGUCUUACCUAGUGGGUCAUUGUGGGUUUAUGCAUUAAGAUAAAUCAAAGCAAGCGGGAGCAAGUUUACGAGUUUGUGAAUGUGUGUUGUUAUGCUUGUGCGUAAGCUUUAGUGUUUGUCUGGCUGCAGGGCUGUCCAUCCUCAAGCUUUGCUGUGGUUGCGAUGAGCAUAACCUUCUGCACAGAUCUUGACGAAAUGGUUUCAUUCGACCCGUCUUGAAACACGGACCAAGG